UACAUGUGGGGCAAGCGUUGUUCGGAAUUACUGGGCAUAAAGGGAGCGUAGGCGGAUAGUUUAGUCAGAGGUGAAAGCCCAGGGCUCAACCUUGGAAUUGCCUUUGAUACUGGCUAUCUUGAGUACGGAAGAGGUAUGUGGAACUCCGAGUGUAGAGGCGAAAUUCGUAGAUAUUCGGAAGAACACCAGUGGCGAAGGCGACAUACUGGUCCGUUACUGACGCUGAGGCUCGAAAGCGUGGGGAGCAAACAGG
rnacentral:rRNA from 1 species